UGGGGAAUAUUGGACAAUGGGCGAAAGCCUGAUCCAGCAAUGCCGCGUGAGUGAUGAAGGCCUUAGGGUUGUAAAGCUCUUUUACCAGGGAUGAUAAUGACAGUACCUGGAGAAUAAGCUCCGGCUAACUCCGUGCCAGCAGCCGCGGUAAUACGGAGGGAGCUAGCGUUGUUCGGAAUUACUGGGCGUAAAGCGCACGUAGGCGGUUACUCAAGUCAGAGGUGAAAGCCCGGGGCUCAACCCCGGAACUGCCUUUGAAACUAGGUGACUAGAAUCUUGGAGAGGUCAGUGGAAUUCCGAGUGUAGAGGUGAAAUUCGUAGAUAUUCGGAAGAACACCAGUGGCGAAGGCGACGGACUGGACAAGUAUUGACGCUGAGGUGCGAAAGCGUGGGGAGCAAACA
rnacentral:rRNA from 1 species